rnacentral:rRNA from 1 species
CCUACGGGAGGCAGCAGUGGGGGAUAUUGGACAAUGGAGGAAACCCUGAUGCAGCGACGCCGCGUGGGCGAAGAAGUAUUUCGGUAUGUAAAGCUCUAUCAGCAGGGAAGAAGAAAUGACGGUACCUGAGUAAGUAGCACCGGCUAAAUACGGGGCAGCAGCCGCGGUAAUACGGAGGGUGCAAGCGGUAUCCGGAUUGACUGGGUGUAAAGGGAGCGGAGGGGGCACGGCAAGCCUGAUGUGAAAGCCCGCGGCCCAACCGCGGGACUGCAUUUGGAACUGCCGGGCUGGAGUGCCGGAGAGGUAGGCGGAAUUCCUAGUGUAGCGGUGAAAUGCGUAGAUAUUAGGAGGAACACCAGUGGCGAAGGCGGCUUACUGGACGGUGACUGACGCUGAGGCUCGAAAGCGUGGGGAGCAAACAGGAUUAGAUACCCGAGUAGUC